UUGACGGAGAAGAGGCCACACAAACACAACACACUACGCAUGUCUGCAGGAGACGGCAGAACAUUCUUUAGGAAGAUUAGCCACCUGAAUCCUGCACUUUAUGAGCAAAUCGAGGAUCAUCCAUCGGAAUCCUGCACUGUAUAAAGCAGCUCACACGGUUACCGUUUUCUACUGUACAGCCAGACAGAUAUGUGAGGUGUGCCUUCCAUUUUAAACCUCCAAUGUUGUGGGAACCAAGGUUGUCACCUGCAAUGGCGCACAAGGUUCCUUUGCAGACUGUUCCAUUAGACCACAAACGGGCUUAUCCUUCUCGCAGAUAGUUCUGCCACAGUGACUGAUGUUGAGAAGACACUCACCCUACCCUCGACUCCUCGUCUAAUACUGCUUGGUGGAACAAAGCGUGUGACUGCUGGAUGCUGGAUGAUCAGCCUUGAGGGUCAUGUCCUAUUUGAGGGCAUCCAACCAACAUUUGUGACAGGGCUCGCUGCUCUGUUUUCAGUGUACUACAUCUUUAACCUACAGUACCAAGAUGAGGCUGCCUGUACACUUGAAUUCAUUCAAAGGCGCUUCAUUGGGAUCAACCCAGAGAGAGGAACCAAGGCCAGCCGGGGCAAGACUGUCUCCAAGAGGACAGGGAGAGUCGUUCAGAAGAAGUCUGUUACAGUCAAUCCCCGUGUGUCCACUCUUCUGAAGAACCUCAUAGACUUUGAGUGGAAUUUCAUAUAGGUCAGUGAACCCAGGCACUUCACAUCAACGCAGCCGUGAUUAUUUCACAUUGUUUGCCUGAAGUUAUGUGUUCUUGUUCUCCUGUUUAGUCAAUCUGCUAUAUUUGACUUCAGAAAUGUGGGUAUUUAUGCCGUAGAACUGCCAUUUAUGUUAACAAGAAGGGAUCAUGUUCACUUGUCCCAGAAAAGGCCCUUGAUCAGUUCUGUUCUAAUCAGACUUGAAGCCUUCUCUUUAUGUUUUAAGAUACCCAUUUAAGUUAAUUUAAAAACAUUUGCUUUGAAAUGCUGAGUGAAGCUAAAACUGAGUUAGAAUGUGUGGAGUGUAUUUCAUUUUUGCAGAAAUUUUGAUCAUCGAACACUGUUGACAUUUGAACAGGGGUGUCUGAGCUGUUGUUUGUGAGAGAAAGGUAGUUUGAAGGAAUGAUGUAUCCUCCUGUGAAAUCCACCAUUUAGGUUAAUAUUUUAAAAAAGAUUUGUUGGAUUUCUAUUAUUUUUCAGUCCCGCUGACAAAUUGUGCAUUUUGUAUCAAAAAGGCAGUGGUACUCUCAGUGGUUAGAUUAAAAACUUUAUUAAUGUUAUCAUAUUUGAUGAGCAAAUAGACUGCCUUGUUCUGUUAGGCCUACUUGAAAUUUCCAACUCUAUUGUUUGUUUGUUUGUAUCAACAAAUGAAGUAUUUCAGUUGGUGCGUGCUGCCUUUUAAAAUAAAUCUUGGGUUACAUCAUUUAUGUCAUAUUUUCUA